UUUUUUUUUUUUUUUUUUUUUUUUUUUUUUUUUUUUUGGGCGCAAGGUAAAUAUUUAGAGUUAAUAUAAAAACACCAGCAUUUGAGAUCAUUCAAUUCUUUCAAAUGUGAUGAUAGGAAUCAGACACAAUUGUAGUGUUGAAAGGAAAACUAAAUUUUUAUGAUUUAAUAUCUCAACUUCCAAGCCCAAAAAUGAUAU
rnacentral:ribozyme from 12 species